ACAUCAACUGAGCCAUAGAGCGAAAUUGGUGCAACUUUCGGUGAUCUUCGUCCUAUUGAGCUCGAAUGUCCCUAGGGGCCAACGUCUAAUUGAUUUUAAUUAAAAUGAUAGCUAUGUGAAAAUUGAUUCACCUAAUUUGGGCAAGAAUCUGGUGAUGAAAUCCAGUUCUUAUCUUGUUGGGGUGAUUGCCCUUACUAUGUGCGGAUUAAUUGGUGUAUGUGUAUCAGGCAUACAUUCACACUUUUACUGAAAUUAAAAUCAAACAAUCACCACAAUAUUUCAAGCAAACUGGGAAUUAAUUUAAAUAAGAAAGGUUUAGAGGU
rnacentral:lncRNA from 1 species